UACGAGGGGGGCAAGCGUUGUUCGGAAUUAUUGGGCGUAAAGGGUGCGUAGGCGGUCUGAUAAGUCAUCUGUGAAAUCUAUGGGCUCAACCCAUAGUCUGCCGGCGAAACUGUCGGGCUUGAGUAUGGGAGAGGUGAGUGGAAUUUCCGGUGUAGCGGUGAAAUGCGUAGAUAUCGGAAGGAACACCUGUGGCGAAAGCGGCUCACUGGACCAUUACUGACGAUGAUGCACGAAAGCUAGGGGAGCAAACAGG
rnacentral:rRNA from 1 species